rnacentral:misc_RNA from 1 species
AAGUCGUAACAAGGUUUCCGUAGGUGAACCUGCGGAAGGAUCAUUAACACGUAUCCACGUAUCAACCAACGCGAAUUCGUUUUCAACUUCUCCCUAUCGAUUCGUCGGUAGGCAUACGUUUUAAACAAUUUCCACACACCUUUUUGCUAGUUGACUUUUCUACGAUACAUCGCCUUGCGCGUUUGUACACGUUCAUUCUAAAUGAAUUAAAGAAACAACUCUUAGCAAUGGAUAUCUUGGUUCUC